UGAGUUCCUUAUUGUAUACCUGGAUGUCUCCCAUGGAUUGAAGACACUAAUAACCUGUCCCAUUAUCUUUAGAGACAUAGCACUGCAUGGCUUUUAAGACUCCAUAUGCCAGUUUGGUAGUCUCCUCAGGGAAACACAUAAUCCCCUCAGUCUCCCUUCAUGUGAAGAAGAGAAGACAAAACAUCUGGACAUCUGGAACUUCUGUUUCCUCCACAAACAUACAAGCUGUUUCCAAAAUUGGAUCUGUAACAUAGAUAUGCCUGGGGUCUAUAGACCACUGCCUAACUGUAAUAUAAAAAUGCUAACAUAUAGAUAUGAUAGUUUACAGAUACAGAUUUACAGUUGACUAGAAAUGCUAUCAAAGUACUUAAUUAACAGUACAUAAAAAUGUUGUUCUAUAAAAUGUACACACAAUGCUUCACAUUUCUAAGAUCCAAUUGCUAUAUGUAGUUUUCCUUUUCUUCUGUGAUGUAGGGUAACAGUGACUUUAAUAAAAGUAUCUAGCCAUCA